UCUGCCCUGAAGUUCGGGACAACCUGCCGAAAGGUGAGCUAAUACCGAAUGUGAUUAUUUGCAGGCAUCUGUAAAACAUCAAAGCUGGGGAUCGUAAGACCUGGCGCUUCAGGAUGGGCCCGCGGCCUAUCAGCUAGUUGGUGAGGUAAUGGCUCACCAAGGCUAAGACGGGUAGCCGGUCUGAGAGGACGAUCGGCCACACUGGAACUGAGACACGGUCCAG
rnacentral:rRNA from 1 species